rnacentral:rRNA from 1 species
GACGAACGCUGGCGGCGUGCUUAACACAUGCAAGUCGAACGGAAAGGCCCUGCUUUUGUGGGGUGCUCGAGUGGCGAACGGGUGAGUAACACGUGAGUAACCUGCCCUUGACUUUGGGAUAACUUCAGGAAACUGGGGCUAAUACCGGAUAGGAGCUCCUGCUGCAUGGUGGGGGUUGGAAAGUUUCGGCGGUUGGGGAUGGACUCGCGGCUUAUCAGCUUGUUGGUGGGGUAGUGGCUUACCAAGGCUUUGACGGGUAGCCGGCCUGAGGGGGUGACCGGCCACAUUGGGACUGAGAUACGGCCCAGACUCCUACGGGAGGCAGCAGUGGGGAAUAUUGCACAAUGGGCGGAAGCCUGAUGCAGCAACGCCGCGUGCGGGAUGACGGCCUUCGGGUUGUAAACCGCUUUCGCCUGUGACGAAGCGCGAGUGACGGUAAUGGGUAAAGAAGCACCGGCUAACUACGUG